rnacentral:antisense_RNA from 1 species
CAAAGUGGGCGGCCACACGCACACCCUCGUGCAACGUGAAGCUCACCUGAUGACCCACCAUGGCCAGCAGGCUGCGGAGGUAACGCUCCCGAAGGGCGGCUCGUGCCCGCUGCUCCUGGGAUUCCAGGGAUUCUUGAGCUAUGGGACACUCCUGGAUUUCAGGAACCUCUGGCCUCAACGGGGCUCUGCGUCCAUCAGGGGCAAAGCCACGGCUGAAGCCAUCAGGGCCCCGGGGCAGCCGGAGCACAGGCACGGGAAUGGUCACUGGAGUUUGCAUUGUCUUGGCUGUUGAGUGAAGAAAAAGAGCAGAAGUCAUUACAUGUGCUUCAAACAGAGCCUGGCGCACAGGAGGCACUCAGUGAAUGCUUGCAAAAUGAAUUUUUAUUGUAAUGCAUUUAAUGAAAUAGCCCAGAUUACUAUCAGACACCUAAUAAGAAACGUGACCCACUAUUUUCUCGCUUGGGGGUGUGUGUGGGCAUGCCGUGCCUCAGUUUCACCCGCCCUAAAAUGGCAUCAGGGACAGCUGUUUCAAUGCCUUGUGGGAACUCGGUGUGAUUAAAUUUGGUCACUAAGCCAAACGCACGGGGCACUGCCUAGAUUGAGUUAGGCCGCCGUCAGGGCCCCAGCAGGGCGGCUCGGUCCCCUCCCAUCAGCCCCGCCCUGGUAGGCGGAGCCACGGGCCCGGCCA